GGCAGAUGAGAAGACAACCCCUUAUCUGAAAUGGCUCACCACUGUUGUUCUACAGACUGGGUCUGAAUGCCUAUUCUGAUGUCACCCACUGUGCGUUGCUGCUGGGAGUCAAAACACUGGACCGGGCUCAGGGCUGCUCACUUGUUGGCAUGAAAGAUUGUUUUCCUUAACAAGUGUUUCAAAGUCCAGAGCUGAACUCAGGAGAUGUGGCUAUUUGGUUCAUUCUGAAGAGUGAAAUGGAUGACUGUUGCAGGCUGGCUGAGUCUGUGUGCCUCAUCACUGCCCAAUGAGAGAAGCACAGAAUUGCGGGUAGAAGCAUGUGCAAACCUCCUGCUUUCUGAGUGGGAGAGAGACCUGAAAUUUUCAUUUAUAAUUUAAAAAUGCUGUUCUGCAAAAUCAGCCUUAGGUUUUUGGUGUUAUACCUGGGAUGGUCCCUGUUAUGUGGAAAUUCUAGUGCACAAUGAAGGCAGGCAUUCCUCAAUAGAUCUUCUUCACAGGAGCAGCGACCCUUCUUAUUGUUACCAGCUCUGGACUCCCUUGGUUGGGCUCUGCAGGAAUAUUCCCAUCCAUGAAAGUGUCUGCAAGACUGCCAAAUGGAGACACAAUCUGCAAGAUGAGCUUUGGUACUGUUCCCACACUACUGUGUACUCAAAACGUAGUUUCAGUAUCAGUUCAGUUUUUACUGAUCCAGUACAUGCUAGCUGAAUGUUAAAAGAACACAACUGUAAACCUGAU